GGAGCAGAGGCGCCCCCGGGGGUGGGGGUCCCGCGGAGCUUGUGUGGUCUAAAAAAACUCCACGUUCACCAUAUACAUACAUACAUACAUACAGGUGCUUUCCUUCCCCGCCCCCGCACAGCUGAAGAAAAGAGAUUCCUAUAGCCUCUCCCAUGCGGGCUUCUGGUCUGACUUUUCGUUCUGACGCUCCUCUCCGCAAGCCUAGAAUUGUGUGAUCCCGUUUUUGACACGGUGGGAGAAGGAUUGCAUGGAAACGGCAUGCGGGACUGCCGUGUGCUGAGUACUUCUGGAAACUGAUUUCUUUCUAGCUGCCCAAGCGUGAAACAUUUUUUACCCCAGUGUUGUGGUCCAGUACAUGAAAAUCUUGAUACAGAUUGUUUUGAAAGCUUAAAGGCUGUAGUCUUUCUCAGCUCAUCUGAAAAACUCAAAAUACUUGAUGUCACUGUGAAAGAGCUAGGGCUGAUAUAAAAUUUUGCAAAUACCUUGUUUUAUUGACCUAAUAGAUAUGCUUCUAUGCUUUGUGU